rnacentral:rRNA from 1 species
CCUACGGGUGGCUGCAGUGGGGAAUAUUGCACAAUGGGCGCAAGCCUGAUGCAGCCAUGCCGCGUGUGUGAAGAAGGCCUUCGGGUUGUAAAGCACUUUCAGCAGGGAGGAAGGCGUUAAGGUUAAUAACCUUGGCGAUUGACGUUACCCGCAGAAGAAGCACCGGCUAACUCCGUGCCAGCAGCCGCGGUAAUACGGAGGGUGCAAGCGUUAAUCGGAAUUACUGGGCGUAAAGCGCACGCAGGCGGUCUGUCAAGUCGGAUGUGAAAUCCCCGGGCUCAACCUGGGAACUGCAUUCGAAACUGGCAGGCUAGAGUCUUGUAGAGGGGGGUAGAAUUCCAGGUGUAGCGGUGAAAUGCGUAGAGAUCUGGAGGAAUACCGGUGGCGAAGGCGGCCCCCUGGACAAAGACUGACGCUCAGGUGCGAAAGCGUGGGGAGCAAACAGGAUUAGAUACCCCGGUAGUC